ensembl:lncRNA
GGGGAGUUUCCACCAUGUGUCUCAUUAGAAAUGAGUUGAACGAACGUACCUAACAAAGUGGACUGAGUGUAAAUAUUUUAGAAGCAAAGGAAACUUUACAUCACAAGUGCCGAACUCCAGGCCUCGAGGGCCGGUGUCCGGCAGGUUUUAGAUAUCACCCUGGGUCAACACACCUGAAUCAAAUGAGUAGUUCAUUACCAGCCUCUGGAGAACUUCAAGACAUGUUGAGGAGGUAAUUUGGCCUUUUAAAUCAGCUGUGUUGGAUCAAGGACACAUCUAAAACCUGCAGGACACCAGCCCUCGACGCCUAGAGUUCGACACCUGUGCCUUACAUCAAAGUCUGUGAGAGACAAAGACAAAGAAGCUGCACUGAUGUCAUUUGUCCACGAGGUGGCAGUGUUGCACUUUUUACUUUUGUUUCCAUAGUCGUACACGUGACAUGAAAUGACGUUUUAUAACUGAGCCGUUUUUACUAAAACAAAAACAUGUUUUUGAACUGAAAUACAGAACAUAUUUGUGGUGAUUUGGUAUUUUUACUGCCACUUUUCCAUUUUCUUUUUUUCUUUUUUUUCCAUUAUUUUUAUUAUUAUUUUACCCUCACAUUGUGCUUACUAGUCUUACAUUUUGUUUUUUGUUCCCUCGCGGAGUUCUUGGAAAAGUUUGCCCUCAAAGGUGUACCACGAGUUUUCCUGUGAAUGCUCUCAAGGUACAAACUGUCCUUUGUGUGAGAGAGGAAGGUGAGUCAAGACUGUUUAUUUGUGUACCAGAUUUUGGCAUGACAAACACUGACCGGUGUGCUGCACAACGUCAGACACAAGUUACAACAUUAAAAAAGAAAAAGAAUAAAGAGCGCUGAAGAUUAAUAGGUGUGAUUAAUAUCAUCCAGGAAAGAUGGGCUUUAAAUUGGAGAUAACCUGAAAUCUCCAAUGAGAUGCCAGCACCAAAAGCUGCUGCUCACCUGACCUAAGCAGAUGUGUAAGAGCGAAGUUAGUCCAUUAAAGC